rnacentral:lncRNA from 1 species
UGAGUACUAUUCAUCUAAUAUCUAACUCUUCUCAGCUGUAUUCACAAAAUAGAUUGUUGCACUACUCAGAACUUCCCUCGAGAAGAAAUACACCCAUAAAAUCUCAAAGGGAUUUAAUGUAAUGAAAUGGAAAUAACUUGCCUGAUCAAUUUUGGAGAACUUGGCAAACAAGUCAUCAGGUAUAGACCAAUCAAAAACAUCAAAGUUCUCUUUGAUCCUUGAUUCAUUUGUGCUCUUGGGAAGUACACUAUGACCCAUCUGCAAACCCCAUCGAAGAGCAACCUGAGCAGGAGUUUUACCCAAUUUUUCUGCGGUAGUGACUAUAACAGGAUGCUUGAGAACAUUGGUCUUGUACAUCACCGUUCCAGGCGAACCAAGUGGUGAAUAUCCCUUUUAAGAAAAUUAACACGUUGAUUAAAAUGCAAAAAAAAUCAAAGGUAAAAACCGUUCUCAGAUUUAAACUUUUAAUGGUGAGCCAAGCAAUUAUGAUUAUCAAAUUGAAAUAUAACUACCCCCACCACCACAAAGAGAGAGAAGACCAAAAGAAGUUUCCUCAUUCUUAGAGACAUGAACCAAAGGAUCAUUGUGUAAUGUUAAGUAACCGAGUUUUGCCAACUCACAGAGAGGUGAACUCCCUUUGAUUUACAGAAUUCUCGUAGUUUGGUCUGCUGCCACACCGGAUGGCACUCAACUUGGACGACAGCCGGAGGAAUGCGAGCUACAUCCAAUAGAUCACCAAGCUUUUUGGUGGAUAUAUUGCAAAUUCCAAUAGCUCGGGCCUUACUAGAGUCGUAGAGUGCUUCCAUGGCCUUCCAUGUGGUAGGUAUAUCAACUGGAACAAAGUCUUCUGGAUUAAUGCCAACAGCCCCCUUCCUCAACCGGGCAGGCCAAUGGAUCUUCACAAUUAGACAGGUCCAUUCAUUAGCCCAUGAUAUAAUUUUUCCAACAGUAAAGAUGCAAAAUAUCCCUCUCAAAGAAAAGAAAAGAAAGAUGUCUAUGGAUCAAGCUGAUUCUGUGUUAUUCUAGAUCUACGAAUUCAUGCAUACUGUCUUCUUAUAAGGUCAUCUUGCGUUAACUUUUAAAUUGUCAAAAUUUUAAUAAAAGGUUAAUAUCACGAAAAUUUACGUACAAGAUACAAAUCAAGAUAGUCAAGUUUCAAAUCUUCCAAUGUUUUAUCUAAUGCCAUGGGUACAUCUUCUGGUGCAUGAUCAGAACACCUGCAGAAGUUAAGAGAUCAGUUCUAGGUUGAAUGCUUAAAAAGUCAGUCAAUAAAGACCGGAUGUGAAAGAGAAGAGUAAGAUGAAGUGAUUAGUAUAAGAACUACAACGUUCGAGAACCUCAAGACUAGCUUUGGAUCAAACCCAAAAAGAAGGUGAAGCAGCAAAGGCAUAAAGAGUAUUUUGUAACGAAACGUGCACAAAUUACAAAGACGACAGUACCAUAGCAUAAUUUACAUCCAUUAUAAUGGAAAACUAGUUCUUGCCCCAUAUAAUGGAAGAUGUUCUUGUUUCACACUUCAAAAUUAAAGUAACUCACACUGACAAGUUUCAUCAACCAGCUUUACAUAGCAAAUAAUCAUCUUCAAAUAUUAACUAUCACAUUGGAGUUUUGAAUUCUCCCAAAUGAAUUCAGAACCUGAUCACAUUUUGAAUAUAUUUGUGAACAAAAUUUGAUUACCAGAGUUUGGAGGUAACAAAUAAAUCCUCCCUCUUCACAACUCCAUCAUCAAACAGCUUCUUUAAAACUGAACCUAUCUGCAAAGAAGAACAGAAGAUGAGUCUCACAUACACAUAUAUAGCCCCUUUUUGUCGUAGCUAAAUAUCAGAUUUUUAGUUGAUUUUGACAAAAGUUAUGAUAUGCGUAGUUGGAAAGUUGAUAAAAAUUGUGAAUCCCAUAAAAUGUGUAGUUAAAAUUGGUUGUUGAUUUUGGCUUAGAUUUUUAUCAUUUUUAAAGUUACAUAAAACAAGGGCAUAGUAAAGAAAAAGGGAUCUUGUGCCUUCACAACAGCGAUGUAAAGAAAAAAAUACCUCCUUCUCAUUUCUAUAGGAUCGAGCACAGUCAAUAUGGCGGUAUCCAAUCUGCAUAAAAGUAGCAGGGAUUGAUAGACAAUUAUAGAAAGACAAUUUUUCUCACUGUCAAGCUAGAAAUCUAAGAAUGUGCACAUCAUUUUACGGUACAAGAUGAAAAUAUUUUUCCAUUAAAUUUCAUCUGCUCAUGUAUGAGAUGAAAAUACUAUCUGCAUUAACUGCAAGUGAUAUCAAACUUAAGCGGACCAAUUCCAUACACGUUAAGAUGUCAACUCUCAUAUUUUCUUGCUUCAUUAUUCAUUCUCAAUAUAAUUCAAUAAUCACCAGAAAAUGCUAUAACAAACUCAUAAUAGUCAGCAUUGUCGUUGCUCUGAGUUAAUGCAAUGGUUAGCCACAGAGAAGAACUGAUAACAUAACCAAAAGUAUAAACGCUGCAACCAAUAUUGAACAUAAGGACUUCUGCAACAGGACUUCAUAUAUAAGGCAUGUAUUCCACUCCUAAGCUCCAGCAGUUUACCAGUAAUUAGCACCGGAAGUUUACAAGCCACUAUAUUAUAACAAAUUUUGGACCAACAUCCUCCCAUUCCAUUUUUGUGCCCCUUUUUUUCAAACAAAUCACUGAAAUUGGAGUGGAACCAAACCCCAAAACAUUUUCUAAAUUAAACUUAAAAUUUUUAAAUCCGCACAACGCUAAAUCCUCCUAAAUGCCCUAAAUAAUCUCAUUAUACAUUCAGCACACGAAGAUACGCAUAUGCAUAAAUGAUGUACAAAUGUAGGUAGAGAGAGUGGCGAUCGGCGACCUUGAUGGCGGUUUCAACAGCACGACCGACAACACCAGGGUCCGCCUGCCACGUGCCAAGGCCGACUGAGGGAAUUUUUGCUCCGGUGUUCAACACGAAGCGUAGAAUCUCCUUUGCCAUUAUCUAGAUUCACGAUUUAUUUUUUGACAGAGAAUUGGAAGGUUGAAUAGUGAAUACGGCACUACAACGGACACAGUGAGGACAUCGAAUAUUUUUUUUCUGCUUAUAAGUGGAAUCAUGACGGCCGGUUCCCCUUGGGUACACGAUCAACGAUCACCGGGAUGAAGCCUGACGGCCAGGACCCGCUUGUAAUUUUGAUGGGGCAAUCCUGAGCGUUAAUUCGUGUUUCUUUACAAAAACUCUGUGUCAGCCUUUGUUAUUUACUUUUUAUAACUUUUCCUUAUUUUUUAAUCACACAUUUCAUAUCAAUACACUAUUUAAGAAUGCAUUAUUAUCAAAAUAAUGUGGUUCAAACAUUCCAUAAUCUAAGUUAAUUUUAAUGAAAAUUGCACCCCGUGUCCUUUAUAAAAAAAUGAUCACUUUUUAGAAGAUUUGUAUGAAUGACCAUUUUAAUAAAAUUUUAGCAAGAAAUACACAAAACUCCGAAUAAAUCUUUAACGUAGUUUUUGACUUUCCAGAAUAAUUAAUGUCAUGGGUUAGUAUAGUUUUUUUAGCAAUUUACUUGUUGCUUUCCAUGUGAUUGAACUGCAUUUGAUAAACUUCUAACGUGUCAGUCGUUCUCUAUUACCUAACAAUUAAAGAAUUUAGUAAAGCCUCCUAGAGUUCAUUUUCUUGUCGAAAAAGGGAAGAUAAAUCAAAAAUUUUAGAAAGAUUCUAUAGUAAAUUUAGGUUUAGAGGAGGGUCAAUGUUUUGUCUAAAAGUAGGUGUUAAACCUUAACAGUUAGCUAUAUGUAUGGCCUUCUUGUAACCUAGUUUGCUAAUUCUAAUUAUGUUUUCAUGUUUAAUAUCUUUCCUUUUUUCCUUUGUUUGUCAUAUAAUUUGUCGAGCUAUGUUCCUCCGCAAGCCUACCCAAUAUCAGUCGAUAUAACAAUUACAUCUUGAGUAGCUUGUCAUCUUGUGCCAAGGAUCAAUGAUUUCAAUGAAAUUUUCGAGACUUGGAACAUAGGAUAUCCACUGCACAAUGUGAUGGCUGGAGCUCGACUAAAGUCUCACUUGUCAUUCAACAUGCAGGGAUGCUGCGAGCUGUCCAACAGGAUUGCUAAUGUUUCUAUAUGUCUUCUUCAAUUAAUCGAUCCUUCAAAUGCUUGUGAGAUCUUUUCUUCACCAUAGUUAUUAUUGUAUCUAUCUUUAUUUUAGGGUAAAUAGCACAAAACGUCCUAAUUGUACAAAAUAUUUACAAUCAUGAUACUUGUACAAUAUUUUUUUUUUACAAUUUUGUUUGACAAUCAUACUUGACAAUAUCACAUUCAUCUAUUUCAAACACUGUUUUUAAAAUUAAUGGUCCAAGUUUUGAUAACAUCAAUGUUGGUAUCCAUCAUUGUCAACCACAAUUGUACAAAUGAAUUAAUUCUUUUUUCUUAUAAUAUUUGGCACUUUAUUUAGGGAAAUUGGUGACUGGGGUCCUAAUUAGAAAAAAGGUACUGUUCACAUUCUUCUCCACGUACACCACCUACCCCCAAAAAAAGGCAUCGCCAUCGUCGCCGCCACUACUACCUCCAACCUCUCCCUCCACUAAGUAAGAUCAACUAGGUGCAAAUUGCAUACAAGCAUUGUUUGGACUAAAAAUUGAGCCACCCCAUUUAGCUACCAGUUCAGAAUGCUCAACUUGCAAAGAAGAACUUAAGUUAGGAAUUGAAGCAAAAUGAACUUCUAUGAUACCAUAUAUACCAUUCCAAUUGCAUUGUCCCUUGGUUGGGGCUUCACAAUUCUUCCUCAAUUUGCCACACGAGCUAUUAUUUUGAUGAAUGGGAGUUAAAUUCUAGCAGAUUCAUCCAGCGAUUCUCUUGAGGAAAGUGGUGGUCUCGACUAGCAGCUCUAUAGGCUGAGGAUUUUGGCAAUAUGUAGCCCUUUCGAUCAAGAUAUUGAUUUGAUGUAGGAUUGAAUGAACUAGCAGAAGCAGCAGAAUACACACAGUAAAGAAACAACUAGGGAGAAAGAUAAGGAGAGAAGGGAGAGAGAAGAGAAGAAAGGGCGGUGGAAAAGGAGAAAACUUCUGCAACACUUCAAUUCAUUUCCAUCAAUUCUAUCUCUUACAUAAAGGCUGCAUACAUAUAUAAAUUCCAAAACAUAAAAGGGCAUUGGGCCAUCCCAUAAAUAUAGCCCAAUUAAACUAAUAAAACAUGAAAUAAAUAACACUCAAGUAAAAGCCCAAAAUAGGUGAUGUCCUCAUCAACUCUCCCAGGGUGGGAGGAAAAACUCGACUCAAUCGAGUGGAUAAGACAUAAAAGACCAUGGCGGACGAUCUUUCUGAAGAACCAAAUAUUGAAACUCAAGUGUGAUCCAGAUUUGUUGGAGCGUCGCUCUGACAAUCAAUAUAGAAUCAGACUCAGGUUGAUCCACCCAAUGAACAAAAAAGCACCGAAUCUCUCUAUCAUUAGUCAACACAAUCCGUUCAUCUAAAAUGACAUCAAUUUUGUCAUUGCAUGCUGUGAUAGGUAGUAUUUGAAUGGACAUAGCAAAAGAUUCAAUGUGAGAGUUCCCAGGUGGAGAUAGAAAAUGAUCGUCAAAAGUGUUAAAAUAGCCUUUGUAAGCGUCGAAAUCCUCAACAAUUAAAAUAGGUUGGUGGUCAUAUGUGAUGAAAGAUCAUUGACAUAUGCACUUGGACCAACAUGCUUUGAAAUUUUAAAAGGACCAGUAUUACGGGCUUGCAGUUUAACAUAAUCCCUAAUGUUAAAUUCAAAAUGUUGUUUAUGCCAAUCAGUUCGAGAUUUAUAUAAUGCAUUACUUGCUUCAAGUUGUUUAUUGAUCUCAGUAUGCAAGUCAUGAAGAUGUUGUACAAAAGCCUCAACUGAGACAGACAUAUUAGCAUGUGGGGAUAUAGGGAUAAGUUCUAAAGUCUUCCUGGAUUUAUAACAAUGAACAACUUCAAAAGGACUCAUGCUUAAUGACCCAUUCACAGAACUGUUAUAUGCAAUUUGGAUCAUUGGGAGGAUUAAAUCCCAGUUCCUCAUAUUUUCUCGAACUAGACACCUUAAUAGGUUACCAAGACUACAAUUAACAACUUAAGUUUGACCAUCAGUCUGAGAAUAGUACGCAGUAGAAAAUUUCAACUUAGUGCCAACCAUGUGCCAUAAGGUUCUCUAGAAGUGGCUAGUGAACCGAACAUCCGUAUCCGACACAAUGGUCUUAAGAAGGCCAUACAAUUUAACAAUCUCAUUAAAGGACAGUCUAGCAACCUUAGACGCAUCUGAAGUCUUGCUACAAGGGAUAAAAUGGGCCAUUUUCAAAAAACGAUCCACUAUAACAAAAAUAGAAUCAUGUUUCUUUGAAGUACGUGGGAGUCCUAAUAUAAAAUCCAUACUGACAUCUUGCCAAGAACAACUAGAGACAAGAAGAUAUGUGUAAAGACCAGUGUUUUGUCUCUUCUGUUUGGCCAACUGACAGGUGUUACAAGCUCUAACUAUCUUAGCUACAUCUGUUUUCAAACGAGGCCAAUAAAAUUGACGUUCAACUUCUUUGAUUGUCUUAUUACAUCCAAAAUGUCGUGCCAAGCCUCCCGCAUGACUUUCCCAAACUAUAAAGUCUCGUACUGAAGUCCGAGGGAUGCACAAUUUAUUGGACCUAAAAAGAUAACUAUCUUCUAGACAAAAGCUAUCAAUACCAUCCAAUUGUCCACUUUGCAACGCAAGGAAAAAUGUCCUUAAAAUCGGGAUAUGACUCAUAAUCUUCUUUGAGUCAUUCAAAACCUAUGACCUUGAAACUUAUAUUGGUUAAAAGUGAAAUGCGACGACUUAAAGCAUCUGUCGCUUGAUUUUCAUUGUCUUUUUUAUGCUUCAAAACAAAAGAGUAGGCCUGCAAAUACUCUAUCCAUGACCAUGCCUAGCAUUCAACCUGUUUUGGGAAUUAAGGUAGCAAAGUGCCUUACAGUCCAAAUAAAGAAUAAAUUCCUGGGGCAAUAAGUAAUGAUGCCAAUAGUGUAAAGCUUGUACGACUGCAUACAACUCCUUGUCAUAAGUCGAGUAUCGUCGUUUGGCAUCAUUUAAUUUCUCACUGAAAUAAGCAAUAGGGUGGCCCUCUUGGCUCAAAACUCCACCUAUCCCUACCCCAAAGGCAUCACAUUCUACCUGAAAAACUUUGAAAAAAUCGGGAAGUCACAUAACCGGAGCUUCUGUCAUUCGCCUCUUAACCAACUUAAAUGAUUUGGCUUCUUCGUGCAACCAGUAAAAUUUCCCUCUUUUCAUGCACUCCGUAAUAGGAGCCAUGAUCGUGCUAAGCCCUUUAAUGAAACGACGAUAAAAUGUAGCUAAACCAUGAAAACUCCGAACGUCAUGUAUAGUCUUGGGCUCAGGCCAACCAACAAUGGUCUGAAUCUUUGCAAGGUCAACAGACACUCCCGUCGUGGAGACAAUAGAACCUAGAAAGAUAACUUUAUCUGUGAAGAAAGAACAUUUCUUCACAUUAGCAUACAGGCUUGUAGCACAAAGUGUAGAACAAACCUGUGUGAGAUGAUCUCUAUGUUGUUCCUUAGUUUUACUGUACACGAGAAUGUUAUCAAAGUAAACAAUGAGGAAUUUACCCAUGAAUGGUUGCAAAGCUUGUGUCAUUACUCUCAUAAAAGUACUCGGGGCAUUGGUUAGCCCAAAAGGCAUGACCAACCACUUAUAAAGACCAUCAUUCGUUUUAAAGGCAGUCUUCCAUUCGUCAUCCGAGCGAAUCCUAAUUUGUUGGUACCACUCUUUAAAUCAAUCUUAGAAAAUAUCGUGGCACUAAACAUCAUGUCCAACAUAUCAUCAAACCUAGGGAUUGGAAAACGGUACUUCACUGUGAUCUUAUUGAUGACACGAUUAUCAACACACAUUUUCCAAGAACCAUCUUUCUUAGGAGUCAAAAGGGCGGGAAUCGCACAAGCACUUACACUCUCACGAAUAAAUCCUUUGUGAAGGAGCUCUUCUACUUGCCUUUGAAGCUCAACAUGCUCAGUAGGAUUCAUUCUAUAAUGAAGUAAAUUUUGAAGAGAUGAUCCAGGGAUAAGAUCUAUAGUAUGUUGAAUGUCCCAUAAAGGGGACAAUAGAUCAGAGAAGUCUUCAGGAAAGACAUAUCAAAACUCUUGAAGAGCCGACUGACCUCAUUAGGGGUCAAUAUUGGAGAUUCCAAUGGAACCUCCAUGACGACCAUGACAAACACAACAGAAUCCUCUUUGAGUGUACUCUCAAAUUCUGUAGGACUAAUCAUAUGUAACCCUUUCCGUUCCAUAAUUUUCUUGGUUUGUUGUGAAUCAACAAGUUUUGGCGGUAAAGGAUUAAGGUGAAUCUUCUUCCCAUUGAACACAAAGGAACAUGAAUUUGAUUGACCAUGGAUAGUGAUAUCUAAAUCGAACAACCAGGGUCGACCAAGAAUGACGUGUCCAAUGUCCAUGGAAAUGACGUUGCACUAUAUAUGAUCCUUGUAUUCAAAAAACUGGAUAGGAACCAAACAACACUCAUUUACGGCAGUAGAAGAAGUGUCAACCCAAGAGACGCCAUAAGAUUGAGAGCGUGGGAUUGGCUGUAAUCCAAGACAAGACAUCGUAGCCACAGAAACUGCAUUAGUACAGCUACCACUAUCCACAAUAAUUUUACAACCCUUGUUAUUGAUCUCAAUAUAAGCGUGAAAAAUGGUGUGACGAUGCUAGUCAUCAAUAUCUUUAGGGUGAGUAAGGGUACAACGUACAACACUUAGCUGCGAGGUGUCGAGGACAGAGGUCACAGAACCUAGAUCUACAGGGAAGGUUCGGAUGCAACAUAACAAGGUAUCCUCAAUAUCAUCCAAAUUGUCAAGCUCUUCAAAUUUAGGUUCAUAGACUUGAUUUUCUAAUGACUCAACUUCUACAUCUUUUCAUUCCUUAAUGACUAAAGCUUGUCUAAGACAUCUAGAUGCGAUAUGACCAAAGCCUUUACAACUGAAGCACUACAGGUGAGAAGAAGUUUUUGGAAUUUCGGGAGCUUUACCCUUAUUUUCCAACACAGCGGAGACAUUAGAUGGGGGAGGCCCUAGGAGGGACUUAACAGGCAGAGGUGGCGCGAAUGAGACGGAAGGACGAUUGUCAACGUGCCUUUCAUAUAGAGUCUUAGUGACCAACUCGUAAUCUUGGACUAAAGAAUAAGCAUGAUCAAGGGUAGUGACACCUCGAAGGAUAAGCUCACGCCUAAGAUCAUCUUUUAGGCCCUGUCUAAACCUACUCAAAGUCAUUACCUCAUCCUCAACGACAUGACAUUACAUUCGAAAUUCAUCAAAUUGAGUAAUAUAGUCAGUCACUGGUCGAUUUCCAUGUGUAAAGGCAUUCCAUUGGUCCAACAAGUUGCCCCAGUAAGAUAGGGACAAAUAUUUCUCUUGAAGGCGACGCUUCAUUUCCUCCCAACUUCCAAUAGAAGGUGCAUAACGCUUCUCAAGGAGAUCCUCAACACUUUUCCAGAAGAGUUGGGCGAUGCCAAUUAAUUUCAAACUGGCAAAUUGGAUACAUCGAUCCUUUGGGACUCCAUACCAUGCCAAGAAACGAUCCAUGUCUCUAAUCCACUGAGUAAAAACUCUAGGAUCUAAACAACCAUCGAAAGUAGGAGUGUCUAACUUGAUGUUUCUAAAGUAACGCUCGUCAUGGCGUGGAGGAAAAUGAUUAUCGCUACGACCAUGACCUCGUUCUCGAUCACGGCCCUGAUCUCUAUUCCUUUGAUCACGUCAAGGAUGUUGUCGACGAUAAUAUGGUACAUUAUGGGACGCUUCAGAGUUAUCAGCGUCCGUCGAACGAAGGGGUUGUUCAAAAUUGUCCAACCUAGCAGCUAGGUCUCUACUCUCUUUACGAGUAGCAGCCAUCUCGGUUUGGACGGCCACUGUUUGAGUCUGUAAAUGUUGAUGACUAGUGACAAGCUGAGCUAAUUGUCUAGUGAGUGCAUCAAAUUAUGAGGGGUCCAUGGUGAAUGUACUAGAACUAGGUGUGAUUAGACAACCAUUACGCAACUGCAUGCAAUUUAAUACGAACUAAAUGACUUGUGAUGGAGAGAUCAAUGAACAACAAGCGCAAGUAAUGAAAAAUAGCAACUUGAGCAUUUAAAUUAAAGGUUUGGGAUUAAGUAAGUCCAAAUAUGACAAGCUAAUACUGCUGAUAUAUGUAAAAUAACAAAACGAGGGUCAAAUUACCAAUCAAAAUCCAAUCAUGUAAAAUAAGUGGGGUAAAAGUGGGGUUUAAUUUGGUUCAAUCAUGUAAUUUCAGGUAAAGUAAUAUAACAGCAGAACAGAAAAUUAAUUGAUGCGAUUUUAAAUUAACAGUAAUAUAGACCAAAUAUAGAUAAAAAUAGUAACUUCCCUUUUUGUUCGCUGAAGUAACUGGGUCGAUCAACAAAAAAAGAAGGGGUACCUGCAAAAUAAUGUUAGAAAAUACAAUUUUUUUGGCUUUUCUUUUCUUUUCUUUUUUCACUUUCUCUUUUCCGUUUUUUUUAAACUUACAAAAUCAAAUAAGUAAACCUGUUACAAAUCAAGGCCCAAACACUAAUGGAGGCCCAAAACACUCACUACCCAUUUAAUAUAAGCCCAAUAGUAAUACAUGACCUAACUAACACCAAGCCCAAAGUAAAAUCAGAGGAUUCACGCAAGCUAAAAUGGGAAAUCGAAGGCUGGCGAUGGAAGUUGCGGGUGGCUGUGAUGGGUGACGGUACUGUGAGGGUGACUGACGGUCAACGACCCUAAUGGUCAUGAGUGGAGGCGGCGGUCGUUAGGUAGGUGUUUCGAGUUGUCGCGAGCGGUCCGAGUUCGAAAAGAAAUUGGUUCAAUUUCUAGUUGCUGUACUUUCGGAUGGGUUGGAUUAUGGUCUAUUGGGUAACUUGUAUGAAUUCGAGUAGGGGUGUUAGUUGAUGUUGGGCUAGUGAAGUUCGUGGGCAGUUCGAUGAUGCAAUGGGCUACUGACGAAGGUGGCAGAGUUGGUGACUAGUUUUUGUAGCAGCAGGUUUGGAGUUGCUUUGGUGUAUAUGUAUGUAGUGGAUAAAGACGCUAGAAGUUGGAAAAAUAGACCUCUUGGUAGAGUCGCUGGGGAGUUGCAGGUGUUUAGUAAGCAAUAUUAGGUAGCAUCUUAAUGAAAGAAACCAGGCUUUAGCUCUGAUACCAAGUUGAUGUAAGAUUAAUUGAGAAAUUCAGAACCUAUAAAAGUUGAAUAAACUAGUAGAAGCAGCAGAAUACACACAAUAAAGAAACAACUAGGGGAGAAGAAUGAGAGAAGGGGGAGAAAAGAGAAGAAAGGGCGGUGGAAAAAGAGAUAACUUCUGCUGCAACACUUCAAUUCAUUUCCAUCAAUUCUGUCUCUUACAUAAAGGCUGCAUACCUAUAUAAAUUCCAAAACAUAAAAGGGCCUUGGGGCAGUCCAUAACUACAGCCCAAUUAAACUAAUAAAGCAUGCAAUAAAUAACACCAAAGCAAAAGCCCAAAAUAGGUUAUGUCCUCAUCAUGAUCUCUUCUCUACAGUUGACGAAAAAAUAAGCAAAAGGGAAUGCUAAAAAUGACAACAAUAUUAGAUGCUAUGUUAACAGGAGGUAGGGAACUCGGUCUCCACGCCCAGGCCUUCUAUUAUGAAGAUGAAUUGCCAACAAAAAUGCCAACAUCUGGUUCAGGAAUUUCAUCAUAUAUUUCAUUUGAAACUUCACGUUCUUGUAUUACUAACUCUUCUCAUUCUCUAGCUCAAUCUCUUUAUCAUCAUCUUGAUCAACAUCUUCUAGUUUUGAAGCAGCAUUUGCUAUAAAACCAAUUAUUUUGUGGCCCAUGUAAUAUUAAAGAAUUAAUUAAAGGUGGUUAAUAUUACUAAAAUUUUAUUGGCCCAAUUGAGAAGUGACAGUUUUAUAAUUGUUCAUUUUGAUGGAAAGUGGAGAGUUUUAUUGCCCAUAGGAAACUGGCUCUCUCUAUCUAUAAACGUGAAUGAACAUCAAUUACAGAGAGGAAAAGUGAGAGAACAGUUUCUUUAAAUUAAUAGUUUCUUAUUUUGCAUAUUUAAAAUUCUCAAUUAUUGUCAUGGAUCAAUGUAUUUUUUUUUUAUCAAUUAAAUUCAUAUGUGAAAAUCAUGAAUUCUUAAAAUCUUGGCAUUAGGGUUUAAUACAUGUGGUAUCAGAGCCAUGUUAAAGAAUUCUUGAUUUUCCUUUAAAAAUUAUUAUUUUCCACUUUUUGAUACUUAAUUAUUUCUUAUAGAUUUAUGGAUUAAGAUCUGAAAUUAGAUUUGAUGGUUCCACAGCUGAAUAUUUUUUACCACAAAAAAAAAAUUAUGUUAAACCGUAUCAAUGGCCACUGAUAAUUAUUAGUGGAUAGUUCCCUGUGUAAUUAAAUUACAUGAAUUGGUCACCAAUGCAUUUAAAACUCAUUUUAUCUAUCGCGUUGCUGACAUAUUCUGCUUAUUCUGCAUUUACUAUUGAUGAUAGCCGGACACGGGUUUUUGAUUAAGUAAUGGGUUCUCUACUUUUCCUUAUUAUUGUAAAUGGUUGGAAAGAAAGGAGAGUUUAAUUAAUUACAUAUGUUUGUAUUCAAUUUCUUCUAAAAGCCUCAAUUCCCAAGAAAAUUGGCAGAAGUACUGUUGAAGUGUGUGUGUAUAUAUAUAGUUUUGACUUUUUUUUUGGAACUAUUGAACAUUUACUAUUUUUAUAUUCAAAUUUUAAUUUGAACUUUUGAUUAAGUUAGAUUAUGUCUAAUUCAACGACACUUAUUUUCAUGUCUUGUUUAUUUUAUUACCAAUUCUUGGGAUACCAAUUCAAUUCGGGGGAUUCUAGUAUAAGAAAAAUUAUAAAAAAUUCUUAACAAAAUUGAAAACGUCUUUAAUGAAAAUGACAAAGUCUACAAAAUUUACGUAAAUCUUUCUACCAAAAGUUUGAAAAAUAUUUCUUUAAUUAAUAUGAAAAUGACUUGCUUUUCAAAAAUUUCUCUUUCUAAUAAAUAUGAAGAGGACUUGUUAAUAAGGUAUUUCUCUUAAAAUUUUUACUCGUUUUGAAAUACAAAUUUCUUCCUACCAAUAAAUAUUUUCGAGAGAAAGUCUACUAAUUUGGUAAGAUUUUCUACACUUAAUUAGUUCAUUUUAAAAAGUAUGCACUUUAAAUUACUACGAUCAAAAGUAUAUAAGUAUAUUUCUAUUGUCUUUGCUAUUAAAAGUCUAUUGCUAAAAAAAAAGUCUAACUAGUUCUAUUAAAAUUUCUUUUAUUAUUUUCUCUUAUAAUAUUUACUCUUUGUUGUCUUUCUUUACAAUUUUUAGGAUCUUUUAUCAAGAAACUUCGAUACUGAGAGAUAGAGAGCUCAGUGAUUUGCUUCUUGAUAUGUGAAGAGGGGUCACCUCUAUUUCUAUCUAGAUCGGAUAAAAUAUGGCUUCCUACAAUGACUAAUCUUCUUAUUUCUCUAUUUUCUAGACAAGUAUUAAUAUAUUCGUUAAAACUUUUCAAUGAACAAGUAAGUAAGACAUUGUAAUUUAAAAGUAUAAAAUAUUAAAAUUUUAAAACGAUAUAUUUGUAAUGGUCUUUAAGUAAUAUACCGUUCAGCAAAUUAAUUUUUUCAUACCUUUUUUUUUAACUCUCUCUUAUCUUUUUUCUUGAUUCUUUAAAGAAGGUUUAAGACUGUAGCUAAAAAGAUUUUCAUCAUAUUUAAAAAGGCUUAAACAAACUCUCACUAUUAGGACAUAAAUUAGCCAACUUAACUAAGAGGAUUACUUUAUCUUUUGACCAUGGAAUCAGAAUAAAGAGGCUAAGAGCGUUAAAAUUAUAUUUUUGAAACAGAAAUAAAAUACUAUUUGUGAAUAAAUUAAUUUCUUACUUAAUGUUUCCCCUUUUAGGCUUUACCCAAAAAUUAACUAAAGUAAACGAAAAUUAUAAACAAGAGAAGAUAUGAAAAGAGCUUACUUUUAUUACGAAAUCUUUGAGUUUUUAAGGAUGUCUUUGAAUUUAUAAAUAUGGUGGAGAGAUUUUUUUAGUACAAGUGUAAUAGUGUGCUUUUUUUUCGGUGUGUUUUCUUUCAUGAGAGGUAUGUGUAUUUAUAGACGUUGGUACAUCACGUCUAUUCUGUUGGUGCUGUAAGUGUGCUAUCAAUAAUUGAAAAAUACUGUGCAAACUUUACAAGUGUGCGAUAAAAAAUCAAAGAAAAAUAAAUAAUGUGCAAUUCUCUAUGUGAGUAAUUAAAGAAUGAAUUAUUUGAAAAGAUGCUUCAAACAGCUUUUGUCUUCACGGCUGACUUUUCUUGAAAUAUGAGAAUCAACGUUGCAGAGAAUCUUUGAAAUAUGUUUAAAGCUUUAUCUUUACGCCUAUUUUUUUUUUUUACUUCCUUGUCUUGCUAAUUAUUCUCCAUCUUUCUAUCUCGUCUUUAUCUGUCCAUCAUUUCUGCUACGGCUUCUUCUAGUUCUGGAUCCAUCACAUUAUCGUUACCAUCAUAUAUAAAUUCUUUUGUUCAAUAUUUGGUACUAGAAUUUUUUUUUGCUUUAGUUCUCAUAGUAAGGUGCUCUUGGCAGAAAAUAAUUUCGUUAUUCCAUUGUGCUACAAUCUGAAAUCAUUAUUUUGAACUUCCAUCAUGGCUGCGGUUUCUGAUAUUCUUCUUUCAUAAUCAAUCUGUCUAAUUUUUAUUUGAUAUUAGUCCUUGAAGAGGGUCUAAAUCUUUUGGCUCUUUCAUAAAUUUAAAUACGAUGAUAAGCUGGAAUUACAAUGCCAUUAUUUACACGAGGGGUAUGGAAAUGAAUUGAACCAUUAAUGGGUGAUCUUUUAACUUAUCAAGAAUCUAUUUAAGUUUUGGUGGAAAAAAUAGAAAAGAUUUGUUUAAUAUAUAUAUAGUAUCUAUCAUACCAAACUGUAAAACUGAGUAAAAGAUGUCUUCUUCUUCAAAGAUUGUAUAAUCAAAGGAAAUUUUUGGAUAAUUAUGUUUAAGGAAUGCUAAAUUUUGGGCUGCAUCGUAUUUGGGACCAUGUCUAAGGAAGUAUCUAUUUUCAUUAUGAUAGUAACUUAAAAUUUGAGCAAAAUCUAUAAUUUCCUGCACAACGAAAUUCUUUAUAGAACUUCGAACAAUACUGGCGCAAUCACCAAUUUUCUGUUCUAAUUCGUAUAAAGUCUUUUCCCGUCCUGCAGCUGUAGAAUUCGUUAGUUCAAUAAGCAUUUCUAUUUUAUCAGAAUAAUUUCUACUUGUAGAGGCGAUGUCUUUAGAAAUUGUUUUUUCAAGUGUAUUUUUAGAAGAACUUAGUUUGUCUAAACUAUUAUGCAAUUUAAAAAUCUCAUUUUAAUAUUUACUAAUAGUUUGUUGGGAUGAAGAAAUUUGAUUUUCGAGGAGUUGUAGUCUUUCUUCUAAAGUAUGCUUUCUAAAAUUUAAAUUUCUAACAACUUUGGUCAUAGUUUCACAACUAUCACAAAGUUGUAUUGAUGAAGAUGAUGAUGAAACUUGAGAGGGGAUUUGCAUGGUCUGUCUAAUUGUUUCGAAUAUAUGAAAAUUAAAUCCUAUCAUUUCUCUACAAAAAUUUAAAACUUUUUCAAGCAUAUAAAAUCCUUUGAAAAGGGGAUCGGAAAAUCUUUCUACUUGCUGUAGUACUUUUGGCCAAUAAUUACAUAUUCCAGGCUUUCUACCUUUAAUUACUGCAAAGAAACUAAAAUUUUUGCUUUCUACUUAAUUAUGAAUCUGUCUGAAAUGGUUAGUUAAGGCAUUAAUGAUGUCUAAUUUUUGUUUAGAGUCACGUGCCAUCCAGAGAUUAUCCAGUAGACAACGCUCUCUUUCUGGUAGUCUUUCUAAAUUAUUUCCUCUGAAUCGAAAAUUAGAUCCUUGAGUGGCCACUCUCAGAGUGACAUUCCCAAAGUUCAUCAUCCUUUGAUCCAUCUGCACCGUGAAGAUAAUAAGUUAGAAAAUUAAUAAUUUGCAUACUUAAAUUAUCUGAUAAAAUAUUAUUUUUUCCGUCAAUAUGUUCUAUAUUAAUUUUAUAGAUGCUUAAUAUGUUAUAUAAUUUUAACCAUCUUUUAUGUCUUAUCUUAUCAAAAUUUGUCUUUUUAAUAAAUUUUACUAUAGCUUUACAAUCUGUCCUAAUUGUAAAUUCAGUGUUUAAAAAUAAUUUAAAGUUUUCUAUACUAUGUAUGAUGGUCAUUAUUUCAUAAUCUUAAUUAGUUAAAUAUUUUCCUUUUAUCUUGUACUUUUCGCUAGCAUAUCUACAAUUUUUUUCUUUUUUUUAUCACUAUAUUUAUUUGGUUUGGGAUAUAAAAUUCCUCUCCAUCCUAAUUCACAUCCAUCUGUUUUUAUUAUUUUAUAUUCACUAUCUAAUGGUAAUUCUAAUGGUGGUAAAUUUUUAACUUUUGCUUUCCUUCCUAAAUCUUUAAUAAAAUGUCUAGCAUAAUUUAAUAUUCCUAAAAAGACUUGUAAUUUCUUGGUUUCUUCAAUUUUGUCUGAAAAUUGUAAAAUUGUCCGUACUAUAUGUGGCUGUAACUGAAUCUUUCCCUCUCCUAAAAUUAUUUCUAAAAAUUCUAUUUUUUGUUUAUUUAUUUCCAUCUUUUUUUAAACUUAUAUUAAACCAUUUUCUAUAAAUUUAUUCAAGGUUAUCUCUAAAUGUUUCAUAUAUUCUUUAUAGUUUUUACUAUGUACUAGAAUAUCAUCUAUAUAUACACAAACAAAUGGAAGAAAAUUAAAUAUACUAUCCAUUUUUCUUUGAAAAAUAGAGGGUGCAUUUUUUAAUCCAAAAGGUAUGACUAAUCAUUCAAAGUGUCCUAAUGAAGUAGUAAAAGUUGUCUAAAGAAUAGAUUCUUUUGCCAUUUUUAUUUGCCAAAAUCCAAAUUUACAAUCAAAUUUAGAAAAUAUCUUACUAUUUUGUAUUUUAUUUAUUAGUAUAUCCUUAUUUGGUAUCUUAUAUGCAUCUUCUACAAUAUUAUCGUUUAAUCUUUUAUUGCUUAUAAUCAUUCUUGUUUUUCCUCUCUUUAUUUCACUAUGAUUUCUAACCAUAAAGGCUGCUGAUCUAUGUUGACUGCUAGACGGUCUUAUUGCUUUUAAAUCUAAUAAUUCUUUAAUUUGUAUGUUAAAAUCUUCUUUAUCUUGAUUCGUAUGUUUUAUUUCUGUUGUUCUAAUUUUUAUGUUUUCAUUUAUUAUUUCUAAUUUAGCUUCUAUUUUAUUUUUAUCCUAAUGUUUUAUCGGGUCUUCUCCUAUUAUUUGAAUUUUUUCAGCUAAUUCUAAAAUUUUGUCUAUACUAUCUAUUUUAGAAGAUGUCUUGUUAAAAAUUAUUAAUUCUUUAUUUCUUGGUAUAAAUUUGUUUUUAAAGUUUCUAAAGAUAAAUUAUCUAAAAAUUCUAAGUUUUCUAGAUUUUCUUCAAUUUCUAGGUCUGGUUCUGGUUGUAAGGGUUCAUCAAGCUUAGCUCGCAACUCUGAUGAUACUACAGUAUUAAUAAUAGAAGUGUCUUUUCCAAAAAUUAUAAUAUCAGGAGUAAUUGUUAAACUUCCAUUUCUACUAAGCAAGAAUUUGGUUCCUAUAACAAAUUCAUCUUUUAUCAAUGUGCUAACCAAUGUAGUCGUUAAACUAUACUGUUUUUCUUGAAAUUUAAUCUUACAAUCAUCAAAAAGUCUCUCUUCGAAUCUCAUUUUACUACCGUCCAUUUGACUUCCUCUUAUUUCAUAUUCUAAUUUCUGUCUACAAUCUUCUGGCACUAAAUCUUUGUCGAUUAUAUUAAAUGUACAACCUAUGUCUACUAAUGCUAUCAAAUUUAAUUUUAUUAUUUUGUUUAUCUGUACUUCUAUAGGUAUUCUGAUACUAUUUAUUGUCUUUACUCUAAAUAUUUGACAAAUUAUUUCUUCCUGAUUUUCUGUUUCCAAAUAAUUAUUUUCUGUGCAAUUAUCUAUAGACUGUUUUCCUUUUGUUUCUAGAGUUCUGAUCCUGUAUUGUAUUUCUCUUAAUACUUCGUGUAUUUUAUCUAUUUUAUUAUUUGUAUCUAUUAUUUUAUUAUCCAUUCUUUCUAUACUUUCACUAUAGUCUUUAUUUUUAUUUAUUUCUUCUUUAAUACCUAAACAAUUAUUGCAUUGAAUUUCUAGACAAUUUUUACACUGAUUUAUACUUUUGAAUCAUGGGUAUAUUCUGCAUAUUUUACAUUUAUCCAUCAUUGAUCAUAGUCCUCUAAUCCAUUCAUGGAUACACUCUUGCUCUAAAUUCAUCAUCUUUAUAUCUAAAACUGAAAAAUCUAGUUCUUCUAAACUAUCAUAACUGUUUUCAGAAUCACUUGUUAUUUCUAAAUUAUCUAACUCUUCAUCUGUGUAAAUACUAUAUACUGAGUUACAAGAUUCAUUAUCAGAUAAUUAUAUUAUGUUACAUUGUAUUUCUUCAAUUAUCAUAUGUUUAGCUGCAUUUUCUUUAUUUUUAUAUUUAUUUGGGCAUUUGUUAGCAAAAUGUCUAGGGUCUCCACAAAUAUAACAUUUACAGUCCUUUCUAAUUUUUGGUUUUCUAACAUAUCUAUUAUAAUUGAGUCUUUUAUUUUUAUAGUAUGUCCUACUUGGUCUAAUAUUAUAUUUCUUUUUAUUUUGAUAUUGAUUUUUAUAUUUUUGUUUUUUUUAAUCCCUUUUAUACAAUUUUUUCCUUCUUCUUCUAUAAUCAUAUGUCUGUGGUGUAUAUAAAUCUGAGCAAAAAGAAUAAUUUAAUUUCUUUAUUUGAUUUCUAGCCACUUCUUCUACACAAUAUUUUCUCAAUUUAUCAGUUAUAAAUAUCAUAGUGGCACUUAUAGUUAUUUUCUUUGUUGGGUUUGACUCUACAUCUUUUCUAAUUUCAUCACUUUAUGGUGGUGGUAUAUUUCUAUAUAAUCUUUCAAGUAUAAGGUAAUCUAAUGCUAAUCAUGCUGCGCUUGCUAAUCUUUCAAAAUCUAACAAAAAUGGUUGUAUGUAUUUCAUAUUACUAAUACUUAAUUUUUUUAAGUCUUCUAAAAUUUUAUUUUGUUCAUAAAUAUUGUCUCUACUGGGAUCAGAACCUAUAAUUAAUUCUCCAAUAAAACUUGUAAAAUUUUUAGGAUUAUUUCCUCCUACCAUUCUUAAUCUAAUUUCAUUUAGUUUUAGUCUUUUUGCUGUAGCGUAGACAUCUAAAUCAGUCUUUCCUAAAUAAGUUUCUAAAUAAACCCACAUUUCUUCUACAGUCAUUUGUAUAGGUACACUAUUAUUCGCUCUAAUUACAAAAUUUUCCCAUUUAGUUAUAGUACUAGGUAUGUCUUGUGGUUUACAAUUAUUUAACUCUAAGACUAAUCCUCUAUCGCUUGCUAACAGUAAACUACAUCCUUCUUCCGUUUGUCUUUUUCCUAAACUUUUAUAUAUUUUAUCAGUCCAUUCAAAGUCUCUUGCAGAGGGAAAAGGAUAUUUACCUCCUAUAUUGUAUUAUGUAUUCAUGGGUUCUUUUCUUUUUUCAAAUUCUUGAUCUGUCUCCCUUUUAACUCUCUUGCUAUUUUCUUCCAUCUUGGUUUCUAUAUCUACUUGAUCUUUUUCUAUUAACAUUCUAGUUUCUAUUUCUCUAUUUUUUUAAGAUUUCUGUAAUAUUUCAUAUCUAUAUAUCCAAAUUCUUUUUAAUCAUCCUCGUUUUCAUCUUCUUCACUUUCUUCAUCUAAAGUAUUAAUUUCCUCUUCACUUUCAUAGUCUUCUAUUUUAAAAUAUCCACAUUCUCCUUCACUUUCUUAUUCAUUUUGUUGUGUCUGUUCUGCUUGAUAAUUAUAAUUUUCAAAUCUAAUACUUAAAGUUCCAUUACUAUUUUUGUACUCAAUAUUAUUUUCUGGCACUAAUAGUGGUUUUUGUAGAAAAUUUCCUAAGUUCCAAUCUAAUCCUGCAUAUGUUUCUAAAGAAAAUUUCUUUGCUGAGAUAGUCUUUAUACCUUUUUGUCCUAAUAAUGUAAUUAUUUGAUUAUUUUCUAAUUUAUAAUUAGUAGUACUAUUUUCACUAAAUCUUCCUAUGAAUCCUGUGCAAAUUAAUAAAUUAUCCUCAUCUCUUUUCAUUUGAUAUCAUUUGCUUUUUAUUUCUAUUUUAAUAUCUUUAUAGAAAUUCUUUGUUAUAACUAAAUAGUCUGGUGUAAAAUAUACUAUUCCGACUUUAUUAUUCAUAUCUAAUUCUAUGCUUUCUAAUAAUCAUUGUUCUAUAUCAGUGAAUCUGCUAUCAUAUAAACAUACUAAUACUUUAACUCCUAAAUUUUCUCUGUGAAGCCAUUUUACUCCUAUUAUUAUUAAUCCUAAAUGAGUCUGUUGAUUAUUUUUAUUAACGAUUUCUUUAUAAGAUUCUUUUUCUAUUAAAUCUAGAGAUACAAAUUGAUCUUCAUGUGUACAGGAAGCAUAUCUUUCUCCAUAAUGCUGCUAAAUUAAAGAUUUACUAAAUAAAUUUUCUUUUUUAUAUAUGUCUAAAGUUUUUACUAAUUUCAGUUUAUUCUGUCUAAACAUUUCUAUUUGUUCUUCUAUAUCUAUUAAAAAUUCUAGUCUUGUUUCAAAUUCUGUUUUUCUACUUAAUGUUAUUAAUAAAGGAUUACCUACUAAUUUACUACUACUGGCUACGAUUUGUUUUCCUUUAUGCAUUAUGUAUAGAUCCACUUAGUUUUCUUAAAUCUAUUAGGUUUAUUAGUUUUACCUAAAUCUAGUUUUUCUAGUUUAUAUAUUAUAUUAUAUUAUCUAAAUCUUGUCUAUUAUUUAUCGACUUUUCUUUUUCUAAUGUUUUAAUUAUGCUUUCCAAUUUUUUUAAGUUAGGACUAGAUUCUGCUUCUCCUGUAUUAUUAGAUUUUCUUUUUAACACUCUUAGCCUCUUUAUCCUAGAUUUCAUGGUCAAAAGAUAAAGUAAUCCUCUGAGUUAAGUUGGCUAAUUUGUGUCCCAAUAGUGGGAGUUUGUUUAAGAUUUUUUAAAUAUGAUGAAAAUUUUUUUGGCUACAAUCUUAAGCCUUCUUUAAAAGGUAAAAAAAAAAAAAGAAGCUAAGAGAGAGUUUAAAAAAAAAGGUAUGAAAAAUUUAAUUUGCUGAACUGUAAAGUACUCAAAGGCCAUUACAAACAUAUCGUUUUAAAGUUUUAAUAUUUUACGCCUUUAAAUUAUACUGCCUUACUUACUUAUUCAUUGGAAAGUUUUAACAAAUAUAUUAAUACUUGUCUAGAAAAUAGAGAGAGAUGAAGAUUAGUCGUUGUAAGAAGCCAUAUUUUAUCCACUCUAGAUAGAAAUAGAGGUGACCCCUCUUUACAGAUCAAGAAGCAAAUCACUAAGCUCUCUGCUUUCAGUGUCGGAGUUUCUUGAUAGAAGAUCCUAAAGAUUGUAAAAAAGACAACAACGAGCAAAGAUUAUAAGAGAAAAUAAUAAAAGAUAUUCUAAUAGAACUAGUUAGACAUUUUUUUUUUACCAAUAGACCUUUAGUAGUAAAGACAAUAGAAAUAUACCUAUAUACUCUUGGUUGUAGUAAUUUAAAGUGCAAAUUUUUUAAAACGAAUUAAUUAAGUGUAGAAAAUCUUACCAAAUUAGUAAACUUUCUCUAGAAAAUAUUUAUUGGUAGGAAGAAAUUUGUAUUUCAAAAUGUGUAAAAAUUUUAAGAGAAAGACCUUAUUAACAAGUCCUCUUCAUAUUUAUUAGAAAGAGAAAUUUUUGAAAAACAAGUCAUUUUCAUAUUAAUUAAAGAAAAAAAUUUCAAACUUUUGGUAGGAAGAUUUACGUAAAUUUUGUAGACUUUGUCAUUUUCAUUAAAAGCGUUUUCAAUUUUGUUAAGACUUUUUUAGAGUUUUUCUUAUACUAGAAUGCCCCGAAUUGAAUUGUAUCCCGAGAAUAUAUAUAUAUAUAUAUUUCAUUCAAAAGUUUUGACGAAUUAUUUAUAUAAGUGUUUUGUUUAUGUAAUUAAUGUUAGAUUGAUGUUGUUUGUUUGUCACCAAAGUGGCCAAACAUUAUGGUAUUUCGAAUACUAAAUUACAUAAUUUAUUUGUUAAUGACUCUUGAUAGUUUGAUGCUUAUAAAUGAAAAUGACUUUAUUUUUUGUAUCAAGAGUAUAUUGACGUUCAUAUAUUAUAAAAUUAUUAUAGAUCGUCCAAAUGUUGAUCAGUUAAUUUUGUUAAUCUUGAACAUGAUAGUGGUUAAUUGAUUUACUUGGUCGGAUGUGUUUUGUAUAUCCAAAGAUAUCAUACAUGUUUGAUUAGAGUAUAUUUAAUUACUAAUUAAGUAAAAUUAAAUUAGCAUCAUUAUGUCUAUUUAUGAUGGUAUAACAUAGUACCACCCAAAGGAGAACUACGCUAUACAUUUAUUGAUAUCUGAAUCUGAAAUUAAGUAUUUAAAUCUUAACUCAAAUCAUUAAUAUUAGAGCAUUUUAUAUUUUGCAGUAUUUGUUCCCGUUUCUCUGCAUUCACAUGCUUCAUCUGUGCCACUGUUCAAUGGGCUCAAUUUCUCUGACCGGUGUGAACAAGUCCAGUUCAACUUAGGUGUUUUAGACUUGGACUUCGACUUGACACUUCAAGUUGAGAAACCUAUUGAUCUUACUAAUGAGAGUAGUGCUCAUGAAAGAUCUUUCCAUAAGGCUAGGGAAAGGUCAAACAGAUUAAGUUUAAUAUUAAUGCGGAUGACCUUAGCAAAGAAUAUCAAGUCUAUUAUCCCUAAAACUGAUAAUGCUAAGGAAUAUAUGAAGUUUGUGGAAUAACGUUCCCAAACAGCUGACAAAUCACUUGAUGGCACACUGAUGGGCACCUUAACCACCAUGAAAUUUGAUGGUCGUCGUACCAUGCAUGAGCAUGUUACUGAAAUGAGUAACAUUACAACAAGACUUAAGACUCUUGGAAUGACUGUGGAUGAGAACUUUCUGGUACAAUUUAUCAUCAACUCCUUGCCUCCCAAGUACAGUCCAUUCUAUAUGAACUAUAAUACCUUAAAGGAUAAAUGGAAUGUGAAUGAAUUGCAUAGUAUGCUCGUGUAAGAGGAGACAAUGCUUAAGAAUCAAGGAACUCAUUUUGUUCAUCUCGUAAGUCAUCAAGGAGUUGGAAAGAAAUAUAAGAAAAGAUCUGGAAAGGACAUUAAGCAAGAACCACUAAAGAUAAAUGAGUUUUCUGCCCAAAUCCACAAUAAGAAACACAAGAAAGAUAUGUGACAUUUCGAAAGUAAAGGUAAGAUUAUUUCUUAUGUAUGUUUCGAAUCUAAUUUAGCAAAAGUUCCUUAUAAUAUUUGGUGAAUUGAUUCCGGAUGUACCCCUCAUAUUACUAAUACGAUGCAGGGAUUCCUUUCAAUUUAGACCAUAAAACCAAAUGAAAAGUUUGUCCUCAUGGGAAAUCGAGUCAAAGUUCCAGUUGAAGCUAUUGGAACCUAUCGUUUGAUUUUAAAUACUGGACAUCAUUUAGAUUUAUUUCAAAUACCUUAUGUACCUUCUAUUUCUCGCAAUUUAGUUUCUUUAUCGAAACUCGAUUCUGUUGGAUAUUUUUUCGAUGGUGGAAAUGAAUGUUUAAAUUUUUUAAAACAAAAUCAUCUUAUCGGUUCCGCUAUUCUUCGUGAUGGAUUAUAUAAAGUAAAGCUUGAUAACCUCUUUGCCGAGACUCUUUUGACCUUGCAUCAUAAUUUUGGUACUAAACGUGGUUUACUGAAUAAAUGAUCUACUAACUGGUGACAUAAACGUUUGGGGUCACAUAUCCAAGGAAAGGAUAGAAAGAAUAGUAAAGAAUGAAAUCCUCCCUAACUUGGAUUUUAGUGAUCUUGGAGUUUGUGUAGAUUGUAUUAAGGGUAAACAAACCAAACACACAAAGAAAGGAGCCACAAGAAGCACGCAGCUUUUUGAGAUAAUACACACCGUUAUAUGUGGGCCUUUUGAUGUUCCAUCAUUUAGUGGAGAAAAGUAUUUUAUCACCUUUCUCGAUGAUUUUUCACGUUAUGAUUAUGUCUAUCUACUACAUGAAAAGUCUUAAGCUGUAAAUACUUUAGAGAUCUUUGUCAAUAAAGUUGAACGGUAAUUAGACAGAAAGGUAAAAAUUAUUAGAUCUAAUAGAGGUGGUGAAUAUUAUGGAAAGUAUGAUGAAACUGGGUAACACCCUGGUCCAUUUGCUAGAUUUCUUGAAAAACAUGGCAUAUAUUCUCAAUACACUAUGUCAGGCACACCACAACAAAAUGAUGUGACUGAAAGGCGUAAUUGUACUCUAAUAGAAAUUGUUAGGUGUAUGUUAAGCAAUUCAUCUUUACCUAUUUAUUUGUGAAUGUUUGCAUUAAAGACUGCUAUGUACCUGCAAAACAAGGUUCCUAGUAAGGCAGUUCCAAAGACUCCUUUUGAACUGUGGACGGGAAGAAAACCCAGCUUAAGGCACCUGCAUGUUUCGGAUUGCCCUGCAGAAGCAAGAAUUUAUAAUCCAAGUGAAAAGAAACUGGACUCAAGAACAAUCAGUGGAUUUUUCAUUGGUUAUCCAGAAAAAUCAAAAGGGUAUAGAUUUUAUUGUCCUAACCAUAGUACUAGAAUUGUUGAAACUGAAAAUGCUACGUUCAUUGAGAACAGUGAAGUUAGUGGGAGUUUGGGACCACGAAAUGUGGAAAUACAAGAUGUUAGAGUUUAAGUUUCUCUACCGUCAACUUCUUCUAAUAUUUGUUGUUCCUCAAAUUUUUGAACAGCAUGACAAUUUACCUGAACAACAAAUAAACGAUCAAACACCCCACAAUGAAGUUGCUACUGAUGAACCCGCAUUAAAUGAACCACAAGAAAUAGCAUUAAGAAGGUCACAAAGACAACAAAGACCUGUUAUUUCUUAUGAUUAUAUGGUUUACCUGCAAGAGUUUGAAUUUGACUUGGGAAUUGUUGAUGAUGAUUCUGCUUCAUUUUCACAAGCCAUUGAGAGCGCUAAUUCUGAUAAGUGAUUCAAUGCUAUGAAAGAUGAGUUGAAAUCUAUGGAACAUAAUAAAGUCUGGGAUCUCGUUGAAUUACUAGAAUCAUGUAAAAGAGUUGGGUGUAAAUGGGUCUUUAAGACCAAGCACGACUCUAAUUGUAAUAUCGAACGAUAUAAAACUAGACUUGUUGCCAAACGUUUUACUCAAAAAAGUGGCAUUGAUUAUAAUGAGACAUUUUCAACAGUCUCUAAGAAAGACUCCCUCAAAAUUAUAAUGGUUUUUGUAGCUCAUUAUGACUUAGAGCUACAUCAAAUGGAUGUAAAAAUCGCCUUUUUAAAUGGAAAUUUAGAUGAAGAAGUUUAUAUGGAUCAGCUUGAAGGUUUUUCAGUUGAAGGAAAGGAACACAUUGUGUGUAAGUUAAAGAAAUCAAUAUAUAGACUUAAGCAGGCUUCCCGUCAAUGGUAUUUUAAGUUCAACGAUACCGUUACUUCCUUUGGAUUUAAGGAAAACGUCGUUGAUCAAUGUAUAUAUCUAAAGAUCAGUGGGAGCAAGUUUAUAUUUCUGAUUUUGUAUGUUGAUGAUAUCUUGCUAGCUACUAAUUAUUUUGGUCUAUUACACGAGACUAAGAAAUUUCUCUCUAAAAAUUUUGAAAUGAAAGAUAUGGGAGAUGCAACUUACGUGAUUGGAAUUGAAAUAUUCCGUGAUAGGUCACAAGGAUUGUUGGGAUUGUCUCAGAAAGCAUAUAUCAAUAAAGUUUUAGAGAGAUUUAAAAUGAAAAAUUGUUCAGCGAGUGUCGUUCCAAUUCAAAAAGGAGACAAGUUUAGUUUCAUGCAAUGUCCUAAAAACGAACUGGAACGCAAACAAAUGACAACUAUUCCUUAUGCAUCUCUUGUUGGGAGCUUAAUGUAUGCUUAGACUUGAACCAGGACAGACACCAGUUUUGCUGUCGAGAUGCUGGGCGGGUAUCAGAGUAACCCGGGACUUGAUCAUUGGAGAGCUGCAAAGUAAGUAUUGAGAUACUUGCAAGGAACGAAAGAUCACAUGCUCAAUUAUAGGAGAUCUGAUAACUUGGAGGUCAUUGGAUAUUUAGAAUCAAACUUUGUUGGAUGUGUGGAUAUGAGAAAGUCCACAUUUGGCUAUCUAAUCCUCUUGGCUGGAGGGGCUAUAUCAUGGAAAAGUGCGAAGCAGUCGGUCAUUGCUACAUCCACUAUGGAAACAGAGUUUGUGGCAUGCUUUGAGGCCACAAUUCAAGGAAAUUGGCUGCGAAACUUUAUUUCAGGGCUUGGAAUUGUCGGCGGUAUUGCCAAGCCACUGAAACUUUAUUGUGACGAUUCUGCAGCGGUCUUCUUUUCAAAGAACGACAAGUACUCCAAAGGUGCUAAACACAUGGAAUUGAAGUACUUUGUCAUUAAAGAAGAAAUUCAAAAACAAAGGGCGUCAAUUGAGCAUAUUAGUACCAAUCUUAUGAUUGUGGAUCCAUUAACAAAAUUAUUGUCACCAAAGACAUUUAAUGAAUAUGUCGGAAGGAUGGGAAUAAUUGAAAAUUAUCAUCGACAUUAUUAUGUAAUUUAUAAUGUUUAUGUAUUCACACUUUGAACUCAUUUAUGCAUUGUUUUUGACAAAAUAUUAUUCAUGUCAUAACUAUUGGUACAUGUACGUGAAUGCUGACAGGGAUAGUCUUUUCGAAGACAUUAUUGUAAUGCAAUUAUCGAAUUUAUCAUUAUGUGUCAUGUUGGGUAAGGACUAAUACUGUAGUACAUGGAAGGAAUUAUGCUGAUAUGAUGGUGUAAAACCGCCAUGACUUUUAUUAGUCUUUACUCAAAGAUGAUAUAUUAAGCGGCUAAUGUAUGAUGGAUUUUAGCUAAUGAUAUGCACAUUAUGUUAUAUACCAUAUAACGAAGCAAUAUAUUACACGAGCCAAGUGGGAGAAUAUAAAACCAAUUAUUUUGUGGCCCAUGUAAUAUUAAAGAAUUAAUUAUAGGUGGUUAAUAUUACUAAAAUCUUAUUGACCUAAUUGAGAAGUGGCUGUUUUAUAACUGUCCACUUUGAUGGAAAGUGGAGAGUUUUAUUACCCAUAGAAAACUGCCUCUCUCUGCCUAUAAACAUGAAUGAAACUCAUCAAUUAAUUAUUCAAUUACAAAGAGGCAUAGUCAGGGAACAGUUUCUUAUUUUGUAGAUUUAAAAUUCUCAAUUACUGUCAUGGAUCAAGGUAUGUUUUUUUUUUUAUCAAUUAAAUUCAUAUUUGAAAAUCAUGAAUUCUAAAGAUUUUGGCAUUAGGGUUUAAUUUCUUACAUUUGCUUGAUAAGUCCAAGCUUUUCUUCCUUCGGGCAGUGUUAUUUUUUGGGCGUUUCAGGCACACUUAGGGUUGGCAAUGGGCUCGGCUCGGCCCACGAGCUCGUGGCUUGUCCGAGCUCGACCCAUGUCCGAGCUCGUGGGUCGAGCCGAGUUUCGGCUCGUUGGCUCGCCUAUUUUUUUAAAAAUAAAAAAUAGAGUUUUAAAAAUAAAAAGUGUUAAAAAAUAAAAAGUAUUAAAAAAUACAAAUAAUUUAACGAAAACAAGUUUUUAUUUAUAUCAUAUUGUAAUUUGUAAUACUUUUUAUAAAGUAUAAAAAAUUUAUAUAAUGAAAACAAAUUAUUUUUUGAAAUACAUUUACAAAAAAUAUUUUUUUUUAUUUCUUUUAGGUUAUCAUAAAGAAUAGAGUUUUAAAAAUAAAAAGUGUUAAAAAAUACAAAUAAUUUAACGAAAACAAGUUUUUAUUUUUUUUAUUUAUAUCAUAUUGUAAUUUGUAAUACUUUUUAUAAAGUAUAAAAAAUUUAUAUAAUGAAAACGAAUUAUUUUUUGAAAUACAUUUACAAAAAAUAUAUUUUUUUGAUUUCUUUUUAAAGUUAAUAAAGAAUAUGUUUUAAAAAUAAAAAAUGUUAAAAAAUACAAAUAAUCUAACGAAAACAAGUUUUUAUUUUUUUUUAUUUAUAUCAUAUUAUAAUUUGUAAUACUUUUUAUAAACUAUAAAAUAUUUAUAUAAUGAAAACGAAUUAUUUUUUGAAAUACAUUUACAAAAAAUAUUUUUUUAUUUAUUUUUAAAGUUAAUAAAAUGUAAACUCUCCUCCUUUAUCCGGACUUGGGACCGGAUACAUCAAUUUUAAGUAGACGAAGUUAAAAAUUGUACACGAACAACUUGUAACGUGUACAAUUUUUUAAAGAAAAUUAAAUUUAACGAUUAAAAAAUAAAAAAAAUUUGAUUAAUAUAAUUUAAUCAAAUAUCACUUACCUGACGACAUACAAUUUCAGCGUAUUUAUCUUGUAGUAAAAAAUGAGCGUCCCGUCAAUCCUUCACACACAUUAACGCUUCCAAAACAUUUUCUUUCAGUCGGCUCCUGGUAUCGAUCAAAACUUUUUUACCUGCACUAAAAGCAGAUUCCGGAGCAUCAGUGCUAACUGGAAGUGUCAAUAGAUCUUUCACAAUUGUAGAAACAAUUGGCCAACGUCUUUUAUACUUUCGCCAGAAUUCAAUUACUUCUUCUGAAGUUUUUUAAUUGUUCUGUCUGUUGGCAUAUUAUGAUUGAAAUAAUCAAUUAAUUCGGCAGGCAUUGCAUUUUGAGUUUCGGCCGAUGUUUGAUGAGAUGCAUAUGUAGAUGACAUGGCACUAGAUGAACACAUUGCAGUUGCAUCAUAUCUAAAUGUAUUAAUACUCUAAAAUAAAUUCAUUAUUUUCACAUCAUCUUCUUCGGUUUCAGCAGAAGGAGUAGGUUCAGCAGAGGGUACUCGACUAACAUUUGCACCUAUUCUUUCCGCAUAUAAAUCAUACAUUUCACAUAAUAUUUGCUCUAAAUUCUUAUAGGUGAUAGAUGUAUCAAGUAUUAAAACUUUAUUGAUUUGAUCAAUUACGUAUUUAGUUCCCGAAAUAUUAUAUCAGGGGUCCAUUGCGCAUGCUAAAGGAAAUAACAUAGGCAAUUCUUCCCAAUAUUUUCUAAACUUUAAUUCCAUAGCAAUUAAAAUUUCAAUAAAAGCAGGAUCAUUUUUAUAUUUAUGGAAUGUUCUUGCAAUUAUAUAAAGACAUUCAAGCACCAUACAGCUUGUGGGAUAAUAAACGCCGGAUAAAAUCUUUGUGGUCUCAUAAAAAGAUGUGAAAAAUCGUUUAACUUUCAAAGCUAAAAUCCAAUCGGAUUCAUUUAACAUACCAUCAUCAUCAUUUCUAACACGUCUAUUGUUAUAAAAGUCAGUUAUUAAAUUUUUGAAACCUUCACAUGAUUUUAAUAGCAAGUAUGUAGAGUUCCAUCUAUGACCUACGUCGCUAACAAAUGUUUUAGCAGUCAUCAUCCCUAGUUCGACACAAAAAUCUUCAAAUACUUGUUUUCUACUAGGAGAAAUCAUAAUAUAUACUAAUGCAUUCUUAAUCUUUUGAAGUUCAUCCUUUAUAUGUUUUAAACCAUCUUGCACAUUUAAAUUCAAGAUAUGACACACACAACGAAUAUGAAACCAAUACCCACAAAAAUCAGGUUGAAGUGUCCUACACAAUUUAUCGACGACUACCUUAUUAACACUAGCAUUAUCAAAAGUAAAAUAUCGAAUUUUACUCUCACAAUGAUACUCUCUAACAAUACUGAUAAUAACAUUAUAUAUAUUCUUAGCAUUGUGAGGAAAUUCAAUAAUUCUAAAAGCAAUAAUUUUCUUAUGCAUACACCAAAGUGGGCCUAAAUAGUGUGCGGUUGCAAUUAUAUAUACUCUUUUAUUAACCCCUUCCCAUAUAUCAGAAGUUAAGGAUAUAACACCCCCAUAUUGUUGCAAAUUCAUAAUUAAUUGUUGUUUUGAAUUAUUGAAAUAAUUUAUUGUAUCAGCACAAAGAGUGUUUCGACUUACCCCAACGUACCUCGAUUGUAUAUAUUCUUUCACGAACAAGACGAAAUGUUGGUUGUCUGCAAUAGCCAGAGGCAACUCAGUGGCGGCAACAAAUUUCACCAUUCCGGUUCAAGUCUCGUCCUCCGAAUACACCCACGUGGAUAGGGGUGAAGUUGUAGAACCGGCGCCUGGACUGCCAAAUUAUAAUUGUGUUUGACCAACUGGAAAAAGUCCAUGUCUGGCUGCACAUGAUUUGUAUGGCGGUUGAGAUGAGUGGUACCAAUUCCUUUUUCCCAUGCCAAUCUUCGUUGGCAGUAUUUACAUACUACUUUAGAUUCUGCAAGGCCAUCAACGACUUUUUCCGUUGAAAUUAACUUAAAGUGAUCCCAACAUUUUGCUUGUUUUUUGGCCUUUCGCUUUCCCCUCGCAUCUGGGAUAUUUAAUUGCUGAUCUUCAUCUUUAUGUUCCGUUUCGGGAACAUUAAUAUCAUCCAAAUCAAUUGGAGUGUGGCUUCCCUGACCGUGAAUGUAAACAUGUAUCGGUAUGUCAUUUAGACCGACAAAUUCAUUUGGAAAUUGACUUUGCGGCGUCCUAGGCGAUUCUCCAUGAUGUAGCAGUGGCUCAUAUCCUGUAUCGAACAAGCUCUCAACAAAUGAACGUUGAUCCAUUUCUGUGAUUGUUUAUGAUGAAAUCUUGACUAGAUGAAUAUAAAUGUAGUGAGAUUGUGAGAAUUGAAAAUUAGAUGAAUUGAAAUUGUAACUAAUAAACUGUAAAAAUUGAAUUGAUAUUGUAUAUUUUGCAGCACAAGAGAGUAAAAACUCGAUAAUUGAUAUAAUAAAAGAGAGUUAAGAGGGUUGUAAUUUUGGAAGAGCAAUUGAUAUGAAAAAAAUCUUUGGGGGAAGGGGGUAUUUAUAGUAAAAAAGGGGGGGAAUGAAAAAAAAAAAAAAAAAAAAGUUCAAGGACCAAAACGGCCNNNNNNNNNNNNNNNNNNNNNNNNNNNNNNNNNNNNNNNNNNNNNNNNNNNNNNNNNNNNNNNNNNNNNNNNNNNNNNNNNNNNNNNNNNNNNNNNNNNNNNNNNNNNNNNNNNNNNNNNNNNNNNNNNNNNNNNNNNNNNNNNNNNNNNNNNNNNNNNNNNNNNNNNNNNNNNNNNNNNNNNNNNNNNNNNAGCCGAGCCGGCUCGACCCAAUUGACAUUCAUAGGCACACUUUACCUUAUGUGGUUUUGAAAACAUGACCACAAGUGAUUUUAUAUGGUAUUUCUUGCCUAAAAACGGUGAGCUCCAUUUUUGAGGAGUGAAGGAUUUAGAGACUUUUCAAUGAACAUACUUUGUGUUUUUAUUUAGAUCCGUUUGAUCGUAAGAAUGGAAUUUUAAUGGUGCUUAGAACUUGUUUUCCUAAAAAUUGUCAAUUAAAUAUGUUUAAUUGGUACAAUUUUUUACCUGAAAAAUGUUGAAAUUUCGAAUCUUUUGAUAUUUGUUUGACUUUGUUUUCCAUAAAAAUUGUCAAUUGAAGGAAUAAAAUUUGUUCCAAUUGUCAGAAUAAACAUUAAAAAAAAAAAAAGGAGGGGAGGCCUGGAAAACCAAUUUCCAUGGAUUUUGUGGGAAUUGGUUUUCCACAAAAUCAAGGAAAUUAGUCAAGUGUGGAUAGGGAUAUCAACGAGUCGAGUCGAGUCGAACCGGCUCGAGAGCCAAAAUUUUUCGCUCAGACUUUUGUAAGGCGGGCUUUUUUUAGCCCGAGCAAAAUUGAGCAAAAACUCAGUCGAAAAAUUAAGGCUCGACCCACGCUUUCGGCUCGGGCUUUACUGAACCGAGCCGAGCUCGAUUUCUGGAAAAAAAAAUUUCCCUAUACCUAACUGCCAAACAGGCAGCAGAGCAGGGGGCUUGGAAAACCAAUUUCCAUGGAUUUUGUGGGAAUUGGUUUUCCACAAAACCAAGGAAAUUAGUCAAGUGUGGAUAGGGAUGUCUUUGCUCGAGCCAGGCCGAACAAAAGCUCGAUCGAAAAAUUAAAGCUCGACCCACGCUUUCAGCUCGAGCUUUACCGAGUCGAGCCGGGCCGAGCUCGAUUUCUAGAAAUAUUUUUCCCCCUACCUGUUUGGCAGCUUAUUUUUAAACUGCCAAACAGGUAGCUAAUCUGCUGCCAACUAACAGCAGACUUGCUGCCUAUUGGCAGCUUGUUAUAGCUGCUAAGCUGCCAAUUAAGGUAGUUUAGCAGCAUAUUUUCCAUUUUUUUUCAAAUAAAUACGGGCUGUCCCAACUCGAGCCAACUCUCAAAAAUGAGGCUCGGUGCCUCCGAGCCUCAAGCAGAGUCGGCUCGAUCUUUUUCCAAGCCGAAUUACGAGCGACCUGAGCCGACGAGCUCGAUUGCCAUCCCUAAGUGUGGAGGGGGAGAAGAAGAAGAAAUUGUCGAGAAAAUUUUGCAAUCAAACAAAUCAAAAAGGUGAAACAUGAAAAAUUCAUAAAAAUUGGGCAAAUCAAACAAGCCCUUAAAUUUUCUUGUUUUUUAUUGGAACCCAGCUGCAUUUUUUCUUAAAUAAAGGAACAAUGUUAUAAGACAAAAAUACCCUUACAUUUAAAAAGGAAAAAGGAAGACACUCCACAUGUUGGCUUAACCACAGAUUUGUACGGAGUGCACAAAGGAAUAUUUUGGGCAAUCUAAAGUGUAAUUAGCCCGUUAGGAAGAAAUUUUUAGGGCAAAAAAAUGACUUUUUUGACCGUUGACCACCCAUUUACAGCCAUCACUCUCACAGGUGAAUCCCAACUGACCUAAAAGGGUCAAAAAAUUACAUUUUUGGGUGGAAAAGCUCUCCAAACAGCCCCUUAGAGUUAAAAUAUCAAAAAAUAAAAGGAAUUUUUCUGCGCAGUAACAAUGAAACGUGUUGAUGUUGUGUUUUUACCCUUUAUAUUAUUUUAAUUCUAGUGCAAGGGAGGAAUCGUCCUGAUAUUGAAUAAAAUCAAAUAUAACAAUUCAACAAUCCAAUAUAUUUGUGACAUGAAGUUCUCACACUGAGCAUCACAAAUUUCACACUUUUCAACCAUACAUUAAUAUCAAGAUUAUACAUCAUGGCUACCAUAACCAAAACAACUGAUUGUACUUCAUGGGCAGUAUAUUUUAAGCGCACACGAACAUAAUUUUAACACCGUAAAACGAACGAAAAUUCACAAAAUAGUUUAUACUCUCCUUCAACAAGCCAACAAACUUCAUACUUUAAAGGCAGCACAACUAACAAACAUAGCAUUUCCAGAUAUGAAAUUACACACGAAGUAGAUAUCAUAGGAUGUCAGAACAUCAAGGCCUGCAAUAAAGCUAGUUCCGCCCAAAAUUUAUUUCGAGUUCUUGAUAUUGUAGAAAGAUGACGACCAUAAGAUAUAUUUGCCCUUCCGAAAUUUUCAUCAUUAAACAGCAAACUCAAAGCUCACCAUCCCAUAUAUCUUCAACGGUUCUGUAUGAACCGAACUUCUCAUGGACAAAAAAGUUACCUGUAACUUGCCUUUCCUGCCAAAUAAGGAAAAAUCUUAUGAGCUGUAGAAAGAAAAUGCCUGCAUUCUCAAAAUAGAACUUUGUUCGCUGGGUUAAAAAAGGUCUAAAUGUGUAGCAUCCGAACAAAACUUCUAACACCGGAAUCUUAAUAGGUGAUGCUGCACACCUGUUAGCAUGUUUGGCAAUUGAAUAAAAAUUUUGGCUAUGUUUGAGCCACAUUUUUUCAAAAAAAAUAUUCUUAAACAGUGAUUUGACAUCAUUUCAAUCACACAUUCUCUUCAAUAAAAUAAUAUUACACGUAAAUUCAAAACCUUUUUUUAUUUUUUAACCACGCAUUUCCUAUCAAUACACUAUUCAAAAAUACAGAAUAUAAUGUGGCUCAAACAAGGGCUUUAUAUAUUGUAGUGUCCAAUCCAAUCUAAAUUGCCCAUGCAUAGUAAGCAAUACUUAUUAGCUGUACUAAUAUUUAAUGACAAAAAUAUAGGGGGUUCCCACGAUGGGUACGAAACAAAAAAAUUGCUAGGGAGUAUUUAUCUAAUAUCUAACUCUUCUCAGCUGUAUUUGCAAAAUAAAUUGUUGCAUUACUCAUAUGGCCACUAGAAGAAAUAUACCCAUAAAAUCUCAAAGGAAUAAAUGAAAAAGAAAAUAACUUGCCUGCUCAAUUUCGGAGAAUUUGGCAAACAAGUCAUCAGGUAUGGACCAAUCGAAAACAUCAAAGUUCUCUUUGAUCCUUGAUUCAUUUGUGCUCUUGGGGAGUACACUAUGACCCGUCUGCAAACCCCAUCGAAGAGCAACCUGAGCGGGAGUUUUACCCAAUUUUUCUGCNNN